GACGAACGCUGGCGGCGUGCUUAACACAUGCAAGUCGAACGGAAAGGCCCUGCUUUUGUGGGGUGCUCGAGUGGCGAACGGGUGAGUAACACGUGAGUAACCUGCCCUUGACUUUGGGAUAACUUCAGGAAACUGGGGCUAAUACCGGAUAGGAGCUCCUGCUGCAUGGUGGGGGUUGGAACGUUUCGGCGGUUGGGGAUGGACUCGCGGCUUAUCAGCUUGUUGGUGGGGUAGUGGCUUACCAAGGCUUUGACGGGUAGCCGGCCUGAGAGGGUGACCGGCCACAUUGGGACUGAGAUACGGCCCAGACUCCUACGGGAGGCAGCAGUGGGGAAUAUUGCACAAUGGGCGGAAGCCUGAUGCAGCAACGCCGCGUGCGGGAUGACGGCCUUCGGGUUGGAAACCGCUUUCGCCUGUGACGAAGCGUGAGUGACGGUAAUGGGUAAAGAAGCACCGGCUAACUACGUG
rnacentral:rRNA from 1 species